rnacentral:misc_RNA from 1 species
CACAAUAAAAUAUGAAGGCUGUACGCGGCUGUGCUCUCGGGCCAGUUUUGCGGAGGCUGAAUUAUUUAUUACCCAUGUCUUUUGCGUACUUGCUUGUUUCCUCGGGGGUCGCCAGCCACCGAUUGGACAACAUCAUAAACCUUUUUAUGUAGUUGCAAUCAGCGUCAGUAUAAAUAAUCUAAUUAUUUA